UAAGCUCCCGUCGGGGAAGGACUGUGUCGAACCUCUGGGUUAGUACUUGCCAGUGGAACUUUCUUUGGCAGGAGACAAUUGCUCGCUUGAUUAGUGUGUCUUCGAAUGACGUGUGUCCGGCCGCAAGCCUUGUUCUAAGAAAGUUGGCACCGAACAGUUAGUUCCUUCAAUCUAAGAAAAAAUAAAGUGAAUUCUCAAGAGAAAAAGAGAAGAAGACGAAAGGCUUGCAAAUAAAAUUGAAAUCCUACAACUGAAAACAGUGCUAAAAUGAUUGUGUUUGGUGUUAAUAUAUAUGUCUUCUAUAUAUUGUUGAUCGGAGUUCCUCUUCGGAAAGGGUGGGCGGUGCGGCUGCAGAAGUUCCGAGUGAAGCCGGAGAGCGUCGAGGUGACGGAGGGAGAGGACGUGAGGCUGCGCUGCGUCGUCGAGAACCAGCAGGGGAAGGCGCAGU
rnacentral:lncRNA from 1 species